rnacentral:rRNA from 1 species
GACGAACCGUGCAAACGUUAUUCGGAAUCACUGGGUUUAAAGGGCGCGUAGGCGGCCUGUUAAGUCGAACGUGAAAUCCCCGGGCUCAACCCGGGAACUGCGUCCGAUACUGGUAGGCUUGAAUCCGGGAGAGGGAUGCGGAAUUCCAGGUGUAGCGGUGAAAUGCGUAGAUAUCUGGAGGAACACCGGUGGCGAAGGCGGCAUCCUGGACCGGCAUUGACGCUGAGGCGCGAAAGCCAGGGGAGCAAACAGG